GAUGAACGCUGGCGGCGUGCCUAAUACAUGCAAGUCGAGCGAACAGACGAGGAGCUUGCUCCUCUGAUGUUAGCGGCGGACGGGUGAGUAACACGUGGAUAACCUACCUAUAAGACUGGGAUAACUUCGGGAAACCGGAGCUAAUACCGGAUAACAUGUUGAACCGCAUGGUUCAACAGUGAAAGACGGUCUUGCUGUCACUUAUAGAUGGAUCCGCGCCGCAUUAGCUAGUUGGUAAGGUAACGGCUUACCAAGGCAACGAUGCGUAGCCGACCUGAGAGGGUGAUCGGCAACACUGGAACUGAGACACGGUCCAGACUCCUACGGGAGGCAGCAGUAGGGAAUCUUCCGCAAUGGGCGAAAGCCUGACGGAGCAACGCCGCGUGAGUGAAGAAGGUCUUCGGAUCGUAAAACUCUGUUAUUAGGGAAGAACAAAUGUGUAAGUAACUAUGCACGUCUUGACGGUACCUAAUCAGAAAGCCACGGCUAACUACGUG
rnacentral:rRNA from 1 species